GAAGCACGCUGAAGCUGGAUGGAGCUGAAUAGCCCCACGGCUGCCUUGGAGGACUUCUGAAGAGCAAGAAGGUGGCCAUCAGCAAGCCAGGAAGAGAGCCUUCUCCAGAACCCCACAUGCUAGCUUCCAGACCUCAGACUCUCCAGCCUCCAGAAGUGUGAGAUUCCAGUGUCUGUUGUUCCCAGGGUCCUGUGUGCGGUCCUUUGUUGGAGCAGCCCACCUGAGUUUGAGCAUUCCUUCCAUGGACUCUGCUUGGAUGCUCACAGGAUGCUGCCUCCACAACCCUAUGAAAAAAUCCAAGUGACUCCUAAUCAUCAAGUCCAAUUUGCUCCCUGUUCAGCCUGACUGCAUGGUCUUGCUUCCAUCCCUUGGGUCCUAAAGGCUAUGUUUCCAUGUUUCAUAUUUCCACCGAAACUUCACACAGAGACACGAAGCAGCCUUUCCUUCCCUCUCAGGAAUGAGGACAUGAAAAGAAGCAAGUAGGAAGCCUAACUGGAGAAGCCACAAUCUGGACCAUUAAGAGUUGUUUUGGGUUUGGAACCAAAACACAGAUGUCUUGUAGAAAUGGCACAGAGGGGUGGUUACCUCUGGUGUUAAUCACAAGGAAGGGGACAAGGCCUGAGAAAGGAAAUGGAAAUCUAGAUGAAUCACUCUGGAUGUUAGAUUUCCUUCCUAAAACUUCAAAAAAAAAAUUAAGUAUAUCUGAGGAUGCUCCUAAGUGAAAGAUAAAGAAACAACAGCUUCUGCUUCAGAGGCACACCUGUUACCUGGGCAGCCCUUUGGGCAGAACCGGGCAUACCUGAAAAAAGAAUAAGCUCAUCCCUUGAAACAAAUUAUCUGACUCUAGGGCUAGCAAACAACUAUGGCUCUCUGGCCAAAUCCAGACUGUUGUCUGUUUUUGUAAAUAAAGUUUUAUUAAAACAAACCA